AGUAACACGUAGGUAAUCUACCUUCGGUGGGGAAUAACCCAGGGGAAACUUGGGCUAACACCGCAUAAUGCAGCGGCACCACAUGGUGACAGUUGUUAAAGCGGGGGAUUUUCGAACCUCGCGCCUGAAGAGGAGCCUGCGGCGGAUUAGCUUGUUGGUAAGGUAACGGCUUACCAAGGCGACGAUCCGUAGCCGGCCUGAGAGGGCGGUCGGCCACACUGACACUGACAUACGGGUCAG
rnacentral:rRNA from 1 species